GUGUUCACUUUAGCAGCACAAAUACUAAAAUUGGAAUGAUACAAAGAUGAUUAGCAUGGCCCUGCACAGGAUGUUAUGCAAAUUUUUAUUUUUGCAACCCUUCUGU